rnacentral:rRNA from 1 species
CACGUAGGGCGCAAGCGUUGUCCGGAAUUAUUGGGCGUAAAGAGCUCGUAGGCGGUCUGUUGCGUCCGCUGUGAAAACUCGGGGCUUAACCCCGAGCCUGCAGUGGAUACGGGCAGACUAGAGGUAGGUAGGGGAGAAUGGAAUUCCCGGUGUAGCGGUGAAAUGCGCAGAUAUCGGGAGGAACACCGGUGGCGAAGGCGGGUCUCUGGGCCGAUACUGACGCUGAGAAGCGAAAGCAUGGGGAGCGAACAGG